UUUAUUUAUUUGAAAGUCAGAGUUACACACAGAGAGAAGGAGAGGCAGAGGCAGAAGCGGAAAGAGAGAGAGAGAGAGAGAGAGGUGUCUUCCAUCCGCUGGUUCACUCCGUAGUUGGCCGCAACGGCCAGAAGCCAAGAGCCAGGAGCUUCUUCUGGGUCUCCCACAUGGGUGCAGGGGCCUAAGGACUUGGACCAACUUAUACUUUCCCAGGCCAUAGCAGAGAGCUGGAUUGGAAGUGGAGCAGCUGGGACUCGAACCGGCACCCAUACGGGAUGUUGACAUUGCGGGCGGCAGCUUUACCUGCUAUGCCACAGCACGGACCCCAGUGACCUCUAGGCCUCUGGCUGUGAGAUGGGGGCACUUGAAGAAGAGAGGGCCUCUGUGUGGCCUCUCUGUGGUGUUUCCUAGCUCUGGGGCCCGGCGCUCCAUCUCCAGGCCCCGUCACCUGCUGGAAUGGCCGAGAGUGACCUCAUAAAGCAUGAUUCCUCUCUGCUGCCUCCCGGAAUCCAGACGCAGAGGGAAUCUCUAAGCAGAAUUUCUGCUGGAUUAUAAAAGCGAGGAAUAAAAACGGCAAAUUGGGACAAUGUCUCAAGUCUUUCGCCGGAACCAUUUGCGGGUCGUCUCUAGUUCACUGCUGGACACUGCGUCGCUGGCGUUUUAUACGCGGUUCAGGAAGUUUAAGAGGAAAGACGAUCAGUGUCGCGCGUUUGUGAAGAGAGUUGUGACGAGUCGCCUCUUUCAGAUCGUUAUGAUCAGCACCGUCUCGCUGAAUGCUUUUUUCAUGGUCUUGUGGACCAGUUACAAAAUCAGAUACCAGUUGUUCAGAGUGCUUGAGAUCUCAGAGGUCAUCUUUGUGUCCAUCUAUGCCUCCGAGUUCUCCAUGAAGGUCUAUGUGGACCCCAUCGACUACUGGAAGGACGGCUACAACCUGCUGGAUGUGGUCAUUAUCAUCAUUAUCGUCAUCCCCCACUUCCUCCGAAAGAUCAAGGACAAGCACUACCCCUACUUCAACAUCGCCGAUGGCAUCCAGUCGCUGCGCAUCCUCAAGUUCAUCACCUACAGCCGGGGCAUCCGGACCCUCAUCACGGCCGUGGGGCAGACCGUGUACACCGUGGCCUCCGUGCUCACCCUGUUCUUCGUCCUCAUGUACAUCUUCGCCAUCCUGGGCUUCUGCCUGUUUGGUGCUUCGGAGAAAGGCGACCUGAAUAACUGGGGGAACCUGGCUGUGGCUUUCUUCACUCUCUUCAGCUUGGCCACGGUUGAUGGCUGGACAAACCUGCAGCAGCAGCUGGACAACCGGAAUUUUGUUCUGAGUCGGGCGUUCACCAUCACCUUCAUCUUGAUCGCCUCCUUCAUCUUCCUCAGCAUGUUUGUGGGUGUGAUGAUCAUGCACACUGAGGACUCCAUCAAGAAGUUUGAGCGAGAGCUGAUGUUGGAGCGGCACGUGACCCUCAUGGAAGAGAAGCAGGUGAUCCUGAAGCGGCAGCAGGAGGAGGUCAGCAGGCUGAUGCGGAAGCAGAAAAGCGUCGACUACAAGAGCUUCAGCGAGCUGGUGGAGAACUUCAAGAAAACCUUGCGGCACACGGACCCCAUGGUCUUGGAUGACUUCGGCACGAGCCUGCCCUUCAUUGACAUCUACCUGUCCACUCUGGACAACCAGGACGCCACGGUCACCAAGCUUCAAGGGCUGUACUAUGAGAUCGCACAUGUGCUGAGCCUGAUGCUCGAAGACCUGCCCCCGAAGUCGCAGUCCUCGCAGAAGUCCCAUGAUAAGUAGCUGGCGCGGGCCCCGGCUCGGAGGGCCUCGCAGGCUGUGCUGAGCCCCAUUAAACACAGCUUCCAAGUCGGCCUCUCCGGAGUUGCUGCGACAGUGCUGCUUCCCCGUCCUCGGGACCUGGGCCUGGGUGAGGAAGCUGAGGCUCAGAGCUUAUGUGGCAGCGAGUAAGAAGUGACACCAGGAGUGGAGUCAGGUUCUGUCGGAAGCUCGUGCUUGUAACCUGUGUGAUCUCGUCCGUGGUCCUCAGCGCCCUGGAGGUGGCUGGUGGGAGCCCAGGACUCCGUGACUUCAGAGCGCGGGGACUGCAUCUCACCCAAGUGGUAGCUCCUGACCCGUGAGUGUCUGGGAGUGCAGGUGCUUCCCGGAGGUGUGGGGGAGUGUGGAGGGGCAGGAGGCUGGCCACAGGGACCCUCCGAGACUCGGAGAUGCUCCCAGAGGGCAGGAGGUUGAGAUGAGCACGGAGUUUGUGCCUCUUGAGGGCCAUGUGUGCUGGUCACGUAGCGCUCCUGGAACCCCAGCACCGGCCCCAGAAACCCGUGGGCGCAGGCCAGGCUGACUCACCCAGGGAGGCCUGGACUCUGGGAGGAAAGGUCAGGUCCUGGGGAGGAGCCCAGCCCAGGGCUGCAAUCCAGCUCUCUUGGCCCCUGCACCAGCCUUGGCUCAGCCGUUUCCCUGGCAUGGGGGACUAGGGGAGUCUCUGGGAACCCGGGGGCCUGGGUGGAUCUCAGCUGCCCCCUGCCAGCCUGUGGGAGGGUCAGUGGUGACACCCAGCUCAAUGCCAGCCCCUGGCCAGGGUGUCUCCGGGGGUCCCCAGCCCCACUGCGCAUGAGCUCCUCCUUCAGUCGCCUUUCCUGGGCUGAGGGUGUGCACCCAUAGAAGUUGUGCCUGGAGAGGCUGGAGCCCGGGUGGGGACAAGCCUCCAUCCCAGUGUGUCCUGGAAAGUGCCCAGCUAGGCCACAGGCGGGAACGCUCCGGGGAAACCCUUGCCGGCUGCCACGGCCUGGCAGGCGACGGCGUGGCCAGCACUCUGUAGCCGCGGUGCCUUGGAGGGGUUGCCAAGCAUUUUCCGUGAAGUCACUGGGACGUUAAACCCUCUGCGCAGUGAACUGGGUUAAUAAGCUUUGUCUGAUGUUGAUGAGCACUAAUGAUAUAAUGUGAUAAUGGCAAUGAUGGCGCUCUCAGCGGUGAUUAUCACACGUGCGGCACUGUCCAGGCACGGAGGGGCGGCGUGCGCAUUCCACACGCCCAGGCCCCAUUUUCCACUCAUAAACCCCGUUCUUCAAAGCCGCUCCUGCCCAACUCCCUAGAUCCACUUUCAGGACAAAUUACCAACACUUAAAAAAAAUUGGUCCAUUUUGUGUGAAAGCCAAGUCCAAAUUACUGUUGCGUUCCCCUUUGUGUAUGGAACGUGCCGGAGGGUGGGGCCUGGGCGCCGAGGGGGACGAGGGGGACACUGGCGGAGGGUGGGGGGAAGGCGGAGAGCCAGGGGUACACGAGGCAGAAAACACCAGCCUCGUUUCAGUGAAAACGUGUUUCUGGAACGAUGCUCCGGUUUACUCAGGCAGAAAAAUUAGAAACGGUGUGCUUAUUAAAGAGGCGAAGCAAGCGUGACUAUUUUUAGUAGUGUAGUAAAACCCUGGUAAUUUGGACGUCUUCAAUAAA